rnacentral:rRNA from 1 species
GAUCAUGGCUCAGGAUGAACGCUGGCGGCGUGCCUAACACAUGCAAGUCGAACGAAGCACUUUAACCUGAUUCUUCGGAUGAAGGUUUUUGUGACUGAGUGGCGGACGGGUGAGUAACGCGUGGGUAACCUGCCUCAUACAGGGGGAUAACAGUUAGAAAUGACUGCUAAUACCGCAUAAGACCACGGAGCCGCAUGGCUCAGUGGGAAAAACUCCGGUGGUAUGAGAUGGACCCGCGU